UCUGUCUCAGUCCUGGGCAGGACAUGAACCGUUCCUUUUGUCCAGCAUAUUCAUGCUGUGUACACUACCUGCCUCAGUUGUCAGAUUGACUAUGGCAGUAUUGCAGUGCUGUAUUCAUUACCCCUAAUAUAGAAGUUCAAUUCUACAUUACAGUACUUGUUCAGUUUUCUCCAUGUCAUCAUGUAGACACUGUAUCAUCAUGUCUCAUCAUAAGGGAUUUAUUGAGCUCUGGCAAUUUGCACUAGUGACUUGCCCUUUGGAGAGGGGUGGCCACAAGUCCUCCGCAGAUGGUCUCACUGUGCACAAGAGGACCAGCAAGGUUUACAGAGGAUCUGAAAUGCUCAGGUAAAAGGCACCAGAGAAGUAUAAGGUCAGACUCCUCCGUGAUCCAAACCUGCAUGCCUAACUGUACCUGGACAUCUCCACAUGGCUGUGUCAUCAGCAUCUCACAGUCAACGUGUUCAGAAUCGCACUGAUGUUCUCCAAGCCCAGAUUUGCUCUCCCUGCUCAAGCUUCAGACUUCACGACAGGCUCCAUUCCCUGCCCAUUCAGAAACCUGGAAGAUUCCAUGGAUUCUUCCUUUUUAUUUGCAUCCACACUCCAUUGAAGUUUAAGCCCUGCCCACUCCUUGUUUCUGAUGUCUCAUGAGCCCAUUCUAUUCUGUGUUCUCUAUCCAAAGUCAUUGUCUUGUUAGAGUCACAUUUCUUGGCCCGGUCCAAGGGAAUGGUUUUCUAAAUAGGCUCAAUGCCUCGUCUUUUUCUUUUAAGAUCAUUGUAUGGCAGUGUCUGAUGUUCUGUCUCAAAAUCCAUUAGUAACUUUCUGUUAAAUUUAGGAUAAAAUACAAAGCUCUUUACCCUCUGGUGUUUACCUUUCCUUCCAUCUUGAUCUCUAGUCUGUGCCCACACACGGAAAUGCUUGUUGUUCUUUUGAUAGGCUGUGUUCUCAAGCUACUUUUCUUUUAAGACACUUUUUAUUCAUUCAAAAGAUGUGUAUUGAACACUUAUUAAAAGCCUGCAUGCUAUACCAUGUUUCUACUCUCAUGGCCGUACAUUCUAGCCAGGGAGACAGAAAGUAAACAUGUGGACAUAGAGGAUCAUAUAUGUAAUGAUAUAUGUCAUCAAGAAAACAAGUGGACAAUAAAACAUCAAGAAUCUGGA
rnacentral:lncRNA from 1 species